rnacentral:rRNA from 1 species
UACAGAGGGUGCGAGCGUUAAUCGGAAUUACUGGGCGUAAAGCGCACGUAGGUGGCGACGUAAGUCGGGUGUGAAAGCCCCGGGCUCAACCUGGGAAUUGCAUUCGAGACUGCAUUGCUGGAGUACGGAAGAGGAGGGCGGAAUUCCCGGUGUAGCGGUGAAAUGCGCAGAUAUCAGGAGGAACACCAACAGCGAAGGCAGCUCGCUGGGACGGUACUGACGCUGAGGCGCGAAAGCGUGGGGAGCAAACAGG